AUCUUUUCAAAAAGUCUUUUUCAUCUCUAUUUUUCCAACACUCUCUCUCAUUUCAUUCACUUUCUCGUUUCUCUCAUUUGCUUCCAUUUCUCUCUACCGACGUCUACGGUGAGCUUCAUUUUCUCUAACGACGACGUCUCUGUUCCACGACGCGAGUUUCUUGUUAGUGUUUAUUGUUCUCGGUUCCGUUAUCGUCUUCUCGUUUUCCGCAUUCGCCGUUUGAGGUAUCGUCGUCUUUUAGUCGGUUUUCCGGUAUCGCAGUCUCUAUUCCAGUGGUCACUGAUCGUUGUUCCUGUCGCUGUUCGUCUAUCAUCUUUCCCUCUGUCCUCACUGAUUAAGAAAAGGUUACUGAUGAAGUCCGGUCAUGUUUUAUUUGAUUUAUUUUCGUUAAUUAGCAGUGAUGAAGUCAGGUUAGUGAUGAACCCCCAUCGCCCCCCAUUCACCAAAAUUUGUUAUUUUAAUGUUCAUCAUUCCCCCGUCAUUUUCGAAUUACUACUCCGGCUACUGUUGUAAUGUAAAUAUUUUUUGAUAGGUGUUGUUCCCUUAUUUGAAGUGUGAGGGUUUUUGAAGUAUUAGGGCUUUCGUCCCUUUAUUGUUAAUUAGUUGUUCUGUAAAAGGUUUCCCCACUCCCUCUGAAAUUUUGGACGUGUUUUUUUUGUUGUUACGUUUAUUUUGGUUACCAUUUUAUUUGUCGUUUGUAUGUUCAAGCUAUUGUUCCUUUAACAGUAGAAUCCCUGUCCUGUUCGAGA
rnacentral:lncRNA from 1 species